AUUAUGCAAACAAGAUUUGGUUCUAAUUUAAUUAUAACUUACUAAUUAAACAAAUGUUGUAAUAAAUUAGUUUUUAAAUAGACAAGCAUUCGCAAUUAUAGAAAUUGCCACAAUUUUACAAUUUCUUUGAGUCGAACGCACAAGUCUCCUGAAAUGUAUAAGCUGUUAAAUAUUAUUUUAAUGUUUCUGUUCAUCGUCGCUGACUGUAACGCUGGCUCGAAAAGCGAGAAUCCACGAUGCCGCGAACAAACAGAAUUUGCUAUAGGUGAAUUCCUCUGCUUGAUGUACAGGGAAAGUUGGUAUUACGACAUCAAGAAAAAAAACUGCUAUUUUACCACAGCGGGUGGUUGCGAAAAUGUAAGGAACAAUUUUGACACACAACAAGAGUGCGUAACUGCCUGCGUCAGCAUAUAAUACCUAUGAACUCUUAACGAGAACGACUCAGAUAAGAAGUAGCAUCACUUCCAACAUCUCCAGAGACUAUUUUAGAGUUAUCCGAUAUUGAAAUGAGUCGUUUCGUUUGAAAUUAUA